UACGUAGGCAGCGAGCGUUGUCCGGAUUUAUUGGGCGUAAAGAGCGUGUAGGCGGCCAGGUAGGUCUGCUGUGAAAACUCGAGGCUUAACCUCGAGCUGUCGGCGGAAACCAUCUGGCUAGAGUCCGGAAGAGGAGAAUGGAAUUCCCGGUGUAGCGGUGAAAUGCGCAGAUAUCGGGAAGAACACCCGUGGCGAAGGCGGUUCUCUGGGACGGUACUGACGCUGAGACGCGAAAGCGUGGGGAGCGAACAGG
rnacentral:rRNA from 1 species